rnacentral:tRNA from 1 species
GCCCAGCCAGCUCAGUUGGUAGAGCAUGCAACUUGUGAUAUUGAUGUCUUGAGUUUGAACCCCACGCUGGGUG